rnacentral:rRNA from 1 species
UGAGAGGGUGAUCGGUCACACUGGAACUGAGAUACGGUCCAGACUCCUACGGGAGGCAGCAGCUAAGAAUCUUCCGCAAUGGGCGAAAGCCUGACGGAGCGACACUGCGUGAACGAAGAAGGUCGAAAGAUUGUAAAGUUCUUUUAUAAAUGAGGAAUAAGCUUUGUAGGAAAUGACUAAGUGAUGACGUUAGUUUAUGAAUAAGCCCCGGCUAAUUACGUGCCAGCAGCCGCGGUAAUACGUAAGGGGCGAGCGUUGUUCGGGAUCAUUGGGCGUAAAGGGUGAGUAGGCGGAUAUGUAAGUCUAUGUGUAAAAUACCACAGCUCAACUGUGGAACUAUGCUAGAAACUGCAUGACUAGAGUCUGAUAGGGGAAGUUAGAAUUCCUGGUGUAAGGGUGGAAUCUGUUGAUAUCAGGAAGAAUACCAGAGGCGAAGGCGAACUUCUAGGUCAAGACUGACGCUGAGUCACGAAAGCGUAGGGAGCAAACAGGAUUAGAUACCCUGGUAGUCUACGCUGUAAACGAUGCACACUUGGUGUUAAUCG